UUAAUGGGGCUUAAAGUUAAUAAUGAACACUAAUCCAUGAUUAAAGUCAUGACUGUUAACUUACUGUCUCAGGCCCCUUCCAUACUGCCAUAUAAUCUAAUUCAAUCUGGAUUUUAUACAGCGGUGUGGAAAGGGCCUCACUGUGCAUUAUGCUGCAAUGUUUGGAUUCAACUCAUUGGUUUGCUGUCUUUAUUGGAAUGCUACUGUGUUUACUUAGGCCUAUUUCACACAGCUGUACAAAAUCCACAUUGAACAGGAUUAUAUGACAGUGUGGACUCAGAUAAUCCAGUUCAAAGCAGAUAUUGAGGAUUAUCUGCCUUGAUAUUCUGGGUUAUAUGGCUGUGUGGAAGAGCCCCUAAAUGCAAAGGUCACUUCUCAGAAAACUGAUUUCUACUUGCUCCAGCAGAGACCAUUCAAACACAUCACCAAUGAGCUACGACCAUUUCUGGAUAAUAAAAUAGCCCUCUCACAAGCUGCGACAGCCCUUCAUUGGCCUGCAGACAUCCUCCAAAUCCUUAAUACUAUUCACAACAGGAUAUAUAACAUAGACGGCAAUAAAGGAACAAGACCAUGACACAAACCCAGAUGCCCAUUGCCCACUCUGUCUUCAUAUCUAUUCUGGAAGCAAUAUUAUAAGGGCCAAUAACAUUGCAUAUAAUAUCAGAGGUACAUUUAUUUGCUCUUCCUCCUAUGCCAGCAAUGCCCUUUAUGCUGGACAAACAGGCUAGUCUCUACACAAGAGGAUACAUGGGCACACAUUUGACAGUAGAAAUUGGAAUAAUCAAAAUUGCAGAACAGUUCAACCUUCCUGUACAUUUAGAAAGAUUAGAAAUGAAACAGAUGAAUUAAAUUAUAUUCACAAAUUCCAAACCACUAUAAGAGGUAUGAACAAAGGUAGUGUUUCAUGGCAACACUAAGCAUACAAACUCAUAAUACCCACUAUUGCACAUAUAAGAAAAAGAAUGUUCUCAUACAUUAUUUUGAACCAAAGCAAAAUGACCUUUUGUAAGAAUAAUUAUUACUUUCAUUACUUUUGGAAGAGACCACCAUACAAUCCUGACCUGGUUCUCUGUGUUUUAUCUUUGCUUAACCUCAAAACCCACUGCAACAGACAUCAUUUUGGGAUAAUUGAAAACAUCCAGGCAUCUGUAACAAAACCUUUGAACAACAUCUCAAGUGAAGACACAGACCCCUUUCACACUACCAGAUUAUCCAGAUUAUCAAAACAGUUAAUACAUAUUAUCUGCUUUGAACUAGAUUAUAUGAGUCUAUAUUGUCAUAUAAUACAGUUCAAAGCAGAUAAUGUGGGGUUUUAUUCAGGAAGGGAUCUGUGUUUUAAGAACAAGAAAAAUUGUGAGUUUUUCUAUUGUAAUGUGGAACCUGUCAAAAAUGGUGCCGUUUAUUUAUUGCCGGAACCGAGCACAGGCUCCAAAGAUGCCAAAAGAUGGGAAAGCCUAUAUAUACCUCUAUCUUUUGUCAAAAAAUACAAAUUAAAAUGGACAUUUAAAAUCGAAUAAUAAAAUACAAUUAAAACAAUUAGAGACACUUA
rnacentral:lncRNA from 1 species